rnacentral:lncRNA from 1 species
UGACCCCACCGGAGAGGAGGAGGGUGGCACAGGGGCCUGACGGACCUGGGGUAUGGGCAAGGCUUCCAGGGGCCGGUGACAUUCAGACUAGGCCUGGGUUGGCCAGGGCAGGAGCAGGGAAGGGUGUUCCAGUCAGAGGGAACAGCAUGAAGGAGGGCUUCGAGGCUUUAGGGGAAGCAAAAGAAGGCCUGGGAGGCUGGCAGGCAGAGAACGGCUGGGGAGGGGCCGCUGGGAGGGGUGGAGAGGUGAGUAGGGCCCGUGGGAAGCACCUGGCGAAGAGUGUUUCUGAUCCCCAAAUCCAGUAUGCGUGCCGGGUUCUCGGGCAGAGUGGCCAGGCGGAACGUGACCAGGGUUCAGUGGCAGAGCCUGGAACCAGCCUGGGGGUCCUGCUUCUCAGGCCCCGGCGUGUCCUUAGGGGAAGGGGAAGGAGACUUCCCAGGGCAGGGCUGCAGCAAGAGCUGGCACAAUGCCAUCCUCAGGGGGCACAAUGCCCCCUCAAAUCCCAGAAGCAAGGGGUUUGAGGAGGGAGUAUGGGAUAUAUGGGGAGGAGCAACAUCCCUGCUGCUUGGAGGGGGAAACUGAGACCCUCACAGAUUUUUGCUGAGUGAGCUUCUGUGAGGUCCAAGAAAAAUCUUUUCCUCCCCGGCCUCUAGCUGUCAGGAGCCCGCCAUGAAAAAUAGGGGAGGGUCAUUUUCACACCCUCCCCCAUUCCAGAUGUGGCAGGAGCAGGAAGGAUUUGUGCCAGAUGUUGGGGUCUGCGGGCCCAGCAAGUUGCCUGGGGCUCUGCUAUUGAAAAGUGAACCUUAACUGGGUUGGCUGCGCUAGCGGUGAUGGCCGUGAGAUCCUGGGGGAUGUGCUCCGUGGCCCUGGUCAUGUCUGAAGGGAGAGGCAGGGAGCCCAGGCCUCACUGUCAGCAGCACCUGACUUUUGCUUCCACGGUCACCCUGGCAGAUCCUUCUCAGCCUGCUUGACUCAGGGCAUGACUUCCCUGCCUGGAUCCCAGGCUUCCUACCCUGCCCCUCGGGCCCCUGGACUUCUCCAGAGUGUUCUGGACACGAGUGGUCCAGCAGAAAUGAAGCUCCUUACCCCACUGAAAACGUCGGGUGUCUGUGCCCUGGGUGAGGAUGGCACCCAGUGUGGCCUCAUCCCCCAGAUCAGAGGCCUGGCUCUGCUGGGGUUUGUCUUUGAUUAAUAAAAAAUGGGGAAGCAAAUCAAUUAGCCCUUCACAAAUGCAACUCAGAUGGCAGGAAAAAAAAUCUCUCAUGAUGCUUGGGGGCCUCUUCUUCACAAAAAGAUGGGAACACACAGAAAGUGUUGGCCCGAGACCCCCGCCUCCCAUCCUGAUGGGAACUGCACACGUGCUUGAACAGGGAGAGGACACUGAAUAUGUACAGAUUAAAAACUUAGGGGUCGAUAUUCUGGAAGCCAAGUGGUUUCUCCAGAUGUCUGCUGGCUGUGUUGGAAUCUCUGGAACGCUGGCUAAAUGCAGAUUCCUGGGCCCUCUUGCUCUGACAUCCUGAUACGUGGAAUCCAAGGAGCCGGCUCAGGUGUCUCUCCCUCCAGGAAGUGGGGCUUGUGCCCUUUGGAUACCUGCACUCCCCAUCACCGCACUCCCCAUCGUGGCACUUCCCUUGUUGCAGUUUUAUGGAGUGUGCGUCUGGCUCUCCAACUAGACUUGAACCGCUUGAGUGCAUAACUCGGGACUUGACCAUUUGCGUCUCCCUACGGCCAGCUCAGCCUCCGCACACAGGGACCUGCAGAGAGUGGAUGUAGCCACUGCCCCAGCGUCCCUGGGCUCUGAAGAGAAGCCAUUGCCCUUCAAGAGCCACCCUCAUUUCCUGGGCACUGGUUGGAAAAAACGAAGAAAAAGAGACACCCAGCUCACCUCCAAGUUUGCCUGCAGGUGAAUAUCUUGUUGAAAGAGAGGGGACUCCCUGAGUCUUGCUGGGUUGAGGAAGCUGAUUGGAUUUCCGGACUCAGAGGAGGGCUGCAGAGAGGGAGGAAUGGGGGGGAUGGGCAGCUGGCUUUCUGGAUGGGUGCAGGACAAUGACAUUGAUGGGGAAGCUUGGGGUGGCUCUGCCGUUGCCCACUGCUUGGCUGGUGAACUUGCUACAUCUUGGCCAGCACUAUCCUCUUCUGGCCUGCACCCUGCCAGACACAGGCAGUACCCCAAAUACCCUGUCCCUGUGCCCCGAAGUCUCCAUGACCUUCAGAUCCCAAGGGACAAGUGGCUCCACGAGGCAGGGCCUGUCCCUCUGGCUCACACUAUGGAGUCCACAGAACCUAGCCCGGAGCCUAGUGCACAGUAGGUGCUCAAUGUAUUCUAUUUGAAUGUUGCAUGAGUGAAUAAAUGCAGGAAUGUCAGGCUGGAAAACAGGUAUUUGUACACCUGUUUUCAUAGCAGUGUUAUUCACAGUAGUCAAAGGGUGGAAGCAUCCCACGUGUCUGCUGAUGGGUGAACGAGUAAACAGAAUGUGCCCCAGCCAUACAAUGGAAUGCGAUUCAGCCUUUUUUUUUUGAGACGGAGUCUGGCUCUGUCACCCAGGCUGGAGUGCAGUGGCACGACCUCAGCUUGCUGCAACCUCUGUCUCCCGGGUUCAAGUGAUUCUCCUGCUUCAGCCUCCUGAGUAGCUGGGAUUACAGGCAUGUACCACCACACCUGGCUAAUUUUUAUAUUUUUAGCAGAGACAGGGUUUCACCAUGUUGGCCAGGGGCUGGUGUCGAACUCCUGACCUCAAGUGAUCCUCCCUCUUCGGCCUCUCAAAGUGCUGGGAUUACAGGCGUGAGCCACGGCGCCCGGCCACGAUUCACCCUUAAAAAAGGAAGGACAUUCUGACACAUGCUACGACUUGGGUGAACCUUGAGUACCUGAGUGAAAUAAGCCCAUCAAAAAAGGACAAAUAUUAGCCAGGUGCUGUGGCUAAUGCCUGUAAUCUCAGCACUUUGGGAGGCCAAGGACGGAGGAUUGCUUGAGGAUUGCUCAAUACCAGCCUGGGCCACAAAGCAAGACCACCCAUGUGAGGUGUUUAGAGUAGUCAAAUUCAUAGAGACAGUAGGAUGGGGAGUGCCAGGAGCUGGGGAGAAGGGGGAAUGGGGAGUUAGAGUUUAAUGGGGACAGAUUUUCAGUUUUACAAGAUGAAAAAUGUUCUGGAGAUGAUGGUGGUGAUAGAGGCACAAUGUGGAUAUGCUUCAUGCCACUGAACUGGACCUAACCAUUUAUGUUUUGUGUAUUUUAUCACAAUAA